AAAGCGUCGGACACGGGAGAGCAGGAGGGUUCCUCUUGGGGGAACGACGGGAGCAAGGGCGAGCAUGGCGCUACUUUUCCUGGCGGAGGAACAUUUAGGAAAGUGUAUCUCUUGCGCUGAAGAAGAGAAGGAGGGCGCUGAUUGGCGGGUUCGUACCUGCAAUGCGUCACUUCGGACAUGCACAGUCGGGGCUCGAAGCGACGCCCUCCCGCGGCACCGCCUGGGGGGCGGGGCUUGGCGCCUCCAGGGCGGGCGGCAGAGCGGGGUUUGGGGCGGUGGUAGCACAGGCAGAGCAGGGCCAGCUGGGCCCUUCGUGACUGCAUUGCGGCUCCGUCCUCGUCCCCCCCCGCCCCGGUGCAGUUGCUAUGGCAGGAGAACUCGCUGCCUUCCCUUCCCUUCCCAGAGAGCCAGGCUGUAGCUGGUUGGGCAGGGUGUGUCGGGCCCACAGCUCUCGUCGCCCACGCAGGCCUCGCCUGUGCAUUGAACUUCGGUGGUUCUCGAUACCUCACUCAGGGCUGGGAGAAGUGGCGUGCCCUGUGCUGUGUCCUUAGGUCGACCUACACCGUGGCAGCUGCAGCCAGCACCUCUCCAAGGGAGUGGAUUCACUGCAAGGGGAAAACCUCUCGGUCUCUAGCAAGUGGCUACGCUCCGGUGUCAUAGCUGCAGCUGUGCUGGUGGGAAGUCCAGAGAAUAUCCUGGAUCUGGACACGUGCCAGGAAAGCUGCUGAUGACGCCUGUGCUCUUGUUGAAUGAACUGUCACUAUUGGCGGAGGUGUAGCAUUUGCUUGCUAAUAGCAGAUAUGUGAUCCAAGGCAAAAUUCUCUGGGAUGACACUGGGAGUCCCUUCAUCCUCUCAGCCACUGCAAUGAAAAGUUGAGUAGAUCUACGGAAGGGUUUGGUUCGCUCUGGGUAGAAAGCCAGGGCACGUCUGACGUCCAGAGUAUACAGACACCUCUCCUCGGUGGAAUUGUGAGGCUUUGGAAGGAACGCUGACAGGAAGAUAUCCUGAUUGACAUGGAACUGUGAUACCACCUUUGGCAUGAAGGCUGGGUGAGGGCACCAGCUGGACCUUGUUCUUGUAGAACACUGUAUAAGUGGGUUCCCCAGGUUAGAGCCUUAAUCUCAGAGACCUGUCUCACCAAAGUGAUGGUUACAACAAAGGUGACCUUCCACGACAGAUGCAGGAGAGAGCAGGACACCAGGGGCUCAAAGGGAAAGCCUAGAAAGAAGCAGGUUGAGGUCCCAUUGGGGAACUGGAUCAUGGAUCUGCAGGAAGUCUAUUAUUCAGGCCCUUAAGGAAUCCAAUCGCCAUUGCAUGCGAGAAGACAGAUCUGCCCUGGAUGUGAGGGUGGAAAGCUGAUAUGGCUAUCAUGUGCACCUUGAUUGAGGAGUGUGCCAGACAUUGGUGCUUUAGGUAAAGAGGGUAUUCCAGGAUGGAUUGUAGAAAUGACUGAGCUGGAGAAAGAUUCCAUUUGGAUGCCCAGGAGGUAAAGCACCUCCACUUAGCCAGUGAACAGGUCCACCUGGGGUUUCCCCACUUCUGGAAGACGGUGUGAGCAACCUCCAAAUGGAGGGACCACUCGUGGCAGGAGAAGAAAGACUUGCUGAGGUGAUCUGCUAAAGCAUUCUGGACUGCUGGAAGGUGCACAGCUUCCAGAUGGAGAGCAUGCUGGGUAAAGAAGUCCUACAGGUGAAGGGACUCUUGAUAGAGGGCUGGCGACUGUGCUCCCCUGUUUGUUGACGUAAAACAUUGAUGGACAACACAGCAUCAAUACCUGUACCAUUUUUCCAGAUAGCUGGGGAAGGAACACUUCACAAGCCAGGCAGAUGCCCCCGAGUUCUCUGAUGUUUAUAUGUAACAGCUUCUCUUAGGACCACAGGCCCUGGGUCCUGAGGUGCAAUAAGAUCACCCCACCCCAAGUCCGACGCAUCCAAUACCAGGAACCCAGUAGGUCAUGGAGCUGGAAACUGAACCCCUUUUUAUAUAGUGCGGUUUCAACCACCGUACCAGGGAGGUAAGAGUUUGUGGUGGGAUUUUGAGGAUCUUGUCCAAGUGAUGACUGGCUGGGAAGUAAAGUGAUGUGGUCUGAGAUGCAGUCUUGCAUGCUGAACUACAUAGGUGCAUGCUGCCAUGUGCCCCAGCAGUCUGAGGCAUACUUGGGCUGUGGUGAGUGGAGACUCGGGCAAUCAGAUCUGACGUUGCUUGGAAUCUCUCAGGAAAGCUCCGACUCUGAUAGAGUUGAGGACUGCCCCGAUAAACUCUAUCCUCUGUACCAGGACCAGCAUUGAUUUUUGUUCAUUUAUCAACAGACCCAGUGCAUGGCAGGUGGCUUGCAUGACCGCAAUGCUAUGUUGGACUUGUGCCUUUGAGUGACCCUUGAUGAGCCAAUUGUUGAGGUACAGGUAGAUCUGAAUACCCUGUUGCCUGAGGUAAGCUGCAACUACGGCCGUACAUUUUGUAAACACUCUUGGUGCUGUUAGGCCAAAAACAGAAACACUGCAAACUGGUAGUGACUGACCACAAACCUUUGGAAUCUUCUGUGGCCACAGAAGACAGAAAUGUGGAAAUAUGCGUCCUCUAAGUUGAGGGCAGAAUACCAGUCUCCAGGAUCCAGGUAGCGGAUGAUGGAGGCCAGAGAGACCAUGUGGAACUUCAACUUCUUAAGAUAUUUGUUGAGGCCUUGUAGGUCCAGGAUGCAUCAUAAACCCCCUUUGGCCUUCAGUAUGAGGAAGUAAUGGGUGUAAAAACCUUUCCCCCUUCAGUUCUUUGGGAACUUUUUCCAUGGCCCCUACCUGUAGGGGGUCUUGUACUUCCUGAAUGAACAGUUGCUUGUGAGAAGGGUCCCUGCAGAGGGAUGUGGAUGGGGGAUAGGAGGGAGGGAUAGAAAUAAAUUGGAGGGUAUAACUUACUGCUACAGUGCUGAGCACCCACUGGUCUGAUGUUACAGUGGCCGAGGCAGGGAGGUAGGGCAAUGGACAGUCCAAAAAUAAUAGGGAGGUUGGAUCCUGGCUGAAGCCUGGGAAGUUGCCCUUGGGCACACCAUAAAAAUGCCUGCUUAUAUCCUGGGGAGUGAUGGCUAGAGCCUGACUGGGUCGAAGCGAAUGGGUAUUGAAGGAAGGGCAGGGGCCUGAAGUGCCUCCAGGGUCUAUAGGACUUGGCCCUGGGUUGGCUCCUGAAUCAUUGAGGCUGUUGAGGCGUGAAGCACUUCCUUGAGGCCGCAGGGGUAUAAAGGCCCAGAGAGCGCAGAGUGGCCCUAGAAUCUUUUAGUCCAUGCAGUCUACUGUCAGUUUGAUCUGAAAAUAGGGUGGUGUCUUUGAAGGGGAGGCCCUGGUUGGACUGCUGGAUCACUGCGGCCAGGCCAGAGGACAGCAGCCCCAAUGCCCACCUUAUGGAUAUGGCCAAUGCCAUUCUUCUAGCCACCGAAUCAGGUGCAUCAGUCAACUUAACUGUGUAGUGUAGACCAGCCCUUCGUGAUGAUCCCAUUCUGCUUUUAAUUUAGGUUUUGUUCAGCAUCUCCUGCUCUAAACAGCUUGAAGCCAACCUACAAUAAUGGUACUACUGUGGUUGAUGAGCAUACAUACAGACUAACAUGGCUGCUACUCUGAUAUUUGGCUUAUGUUGACCUAAUUAUGUCAGUGUCUAUACUACAGCCUUCCUCCCACGAAUGUAAGUGCCCUACUACACUGACAUACUAACUCCACCUCCACAAGUGGUGUAAGGCUUAUGUUGGUGUAGUUGGGGUGAGGCAGUAUCUGUAGUCACUGUCUCCUUUACAUUGGCUUUCUUGUCAAUUUCACAGCUCCUGCUGUGAAAUUGACAAGAAAGCCCCUGCUCCCCUAGGGAGCUGGACCAGGCUCCUGCCUGGGAGCCAGCGUGAGAAACCUGGGGGGCUUCCCACACUACUCCCAGCUGGGAGUCAGGCAACCUUGUCAAUUUCACGGCUGGGUGAGCUGCCUGGCUCCCUGUGGGGAGCAGGUGGAGGGGUUGAGAAGCUAUGGCAGCUGGUCCCUGCUCCCCAGUGGUGAGAAGCCCUGGGUGGCUUCCCCCCUAUGCCUGGCAGGGAAUGAGGUAGGGGGUGAGAAGCCCCAGGCAGCUUCCCCCCACUCCUGGUGGGGAACAGGGAGCAGAAGGAGCCUGUGGGUCAGCCAGGCUCCUGGCAGGGAGCUGCCAGCAGAUCUGAGACACAGGGCUCUCAGCUCUUCACAGUGCCCCUCUUAGGUUGGUGAAAACACUCUCGGUCAGGACGCGCAGCACCGACCCAAGCAGGGUAGUGUGGAUAUGCACCACUGCAGUGGCUGUAAGUCAACCUAAUAAAGGUUGACUUACGUUUGCAGUGUAAACAUACCCUUAGCAAAAAUGCACCAACGUGUCUAACAGUAAAACUGCCUUUUACCUAGUUUGGGGAUCUAGCCAAAUAAUGCUUGAAGAAUUUGACAAUUUUCCUUUUUGGAGGGGAGAGAGAGAGAGAGAGAGAGAGAGAGAGAGAGGGCUGAAAAAAAAAAAUGAAAAGCUUUUCUUCAAAUUUCUGAGGAGGGUUGGUGGUAGUUGCUUUGCAUGUGCAACCUCUUUAUUCUAGCAUUUGGAAAAUGUAGCUAUUCUUUUCUCCUAAUAGUGUAAACAAAAAAGAUAGAUCAGAAUAAUAGUUCAUUCCUAGCAAAGGUUAUAGUUUGAGGCAAAGUAAGGCUUAGAAUAGAAUGAUUGUUGCAACCUGAACAGUGACAAAUGCCUCAAUAAUAAAAAUACAAUAUAUAUAAUAUUGUUUUUCUUUACUUCUGUUGCAGGGAUUAAAAUCUCAAAGUAUUUUGUACAGUUCACAUAACAGACAGAGGAGCACAGGACCAAUUUACUGGGGGGAAAAUAAGUUUGAUUAAAAUUGGUGCAAUGUGACGCACUGAUACUUAAGCAUGAUGGUGCAAAAGAUUAAAUUUUUUUUAAUGGUUGCAUGGGGUGCAGUGUAGUUACUGCAGAAAGAACCUGUACCGACUAAAUUAUAUAUAUAAAGCCUGUGUGCUUUUUUCUCCUACACUGUUGCCUGCUCCACUGAGAAAUUAAAACCUCCCCAUCUUUUCUUAUGCUCUAAAGACAUGUACUAUAAGUGGGGUUUUUUUAAAGUAUUGAAAAAGUCAUGUUCUAGAACAUUCUGAACUGAGAAAGCCAGAACUAAGAAAAGGGCUGUAUGGGGUUCCCAAUUCUGUAAGCACAUGCUUAACUUUGCUCAUGUUACCUGUUCCAAUAACUUUAAGUACAUGAGCAGUCCAAUUGACUUUAAGCAUGUUCAUAAGUGUUUGUAGGAUCAAGAGCUUAGUAGUUGAAUCAUUACAUGAAAGAGAGUAAUGUAGCUAAUUUCUUUUGAUUAACUCUAAAAACUAGUAGUGUGUGACCAAGCAAAAUUCCCACCAAGCCACAAAAAAAAAAAAAAAAAAAGGGUGAAAUUAUGGGAGGCAUGUAAUGGAGGCUGGGGGAGGCUAAGUCUCCCCUAACUCUUGCUGCCAGGAAGGGGGGGCAGUGGUGGAUUUGGGGCCCCUGGAAAAAGUUUUCCCCCGCUAUGGCCCUGGGGCUGGAGGAGCUCUUGCUCCCCACUAUGGUCCUGGGGCCAUGGAACAAGCAGGGGUGGGGCUUCAGGGGAAGAG